UGGUUCUCCCCGAAAGCUAUUUAGGUAGCGCCUCGUGAAUUCAUCUCCGGGGGUAGAGCACUGUUUCGGCUAGGGGGCCAUCCCGGCUUACCAACCCGAUGCAAACUGCGAAUACCGGAGAAUGUUAUCACGGGAGACACACGGCGGGUGCUAACGUCCGUCGUGAAGAGGGAAACAACCCAGACCGCCAGCUAAGGUCCCAAAGUCAUGGUUAAGUGGGAAACGAUGUGGGAAGGCCCAGACAGCCAGGAUGUUGGCUUAGAAGCAGCCAUCAUUUAAAGAAAGCGUAAUAGCUCACUGGUCGAGUCGGCCUGCGCGGAAGAUGUAACGGGGCUAAACCAUGCACCGAAGCUGCGGCAGCGAACGUAUCACCCAAGACAACUUUACGGAGUUGACGAUUGACGGAGCGAAGCGACGUCAAAGCGUUCAUUAAAGUCGAGUUGGCUUAGGGAUACGUUCGUUGGGUAGGGGAGCGUUCUGUAAGCCUGUGAAGGUGUGUCGUGAGGCAUGCUGGAGGUAUCAGAAGUGCGAAUGCUGACAUAAGUAACGAUAAAGCGGGUGAAAAGCCCGCUCGCCGGAAGACCAAGGGUUCCUGUCCAACGUUAAUCGGGGCAGGGUGAGUCGACCCCUAAGGCGAGGCCGAAAGGCGUAGUCGAUGGGAAACGGGUUAAUAUUCCCGUACUUGGUGUUACUGCGAAGGGGGGACGGAGAAGGCUAUGUUGGCCGGGCGACGGUUGUCCCGGUUUAAGCGUGUAGGUGUGUGUUCCAGGUAAAUCCGGUUCACUUUAACACUGAGGCGUGACGACGAGGCACUACGGUGCUGAAGCAACAAAUGCCCUGCUUCCAGGAAAAGCCUCUAAGCAUCAGGUAACACGAAAUC
rnacentral:rRNA from 1 species